rnacentral:rRNA from 1 species
UACGGAGGAUGCAAGCGUUAUCCGGAAUGAUUGGGCGUAAAGGGUCCGCAGGUGGCAAUGUAAGUCUGCUGUCAAAGAAUGAGGCUCAACCUCAUCAAGGCAGUGGAAACUACGUAGCUAGAGUACGGUCGGGGGUAGAAGGAAUUCCUGGUGUAGCGGUGAAAUGCGUAGAGAUCAGGAAGAACACCGGUGGCGAAAGCGUUCUGCUA